CAGAACCUCAGCACCCAGCUCCAGACGCAGUGAGCGGAGAACUUGCUUGUCUCUGGCAUCCAUUUCUCCCUGGAAAGAGCCAAAAUCAGCACCUAGAUUUCAGGAGUGCUGACGGAGCACCUCAAAAUCAGUCAGGGCUUUACAUCUUAACAGAGUGUAGGGCCACGGUGCUUCCUAAAUGGCUGUUAAGCCAAACCACGUUAAUUUCUAACACUUCGCAGCAUAAUGAACAGCACUAGUUAUGAAUCCGUGUCUAUCUCUGCUUUCCGCAAUAAUGGAGUCCUAUUUCAACUCCUUGUGCAGUAAGAGAUCAGACAGAAAACAGGUCUGAUCCCUUACUUACAAUGCAGUCCCCUAGGGAUUAUAGAUUUAUUGAUCUAUUUAUUUAUAUUAUAUAAAAGUAAAUGCUAGAGAAUAGUGGGCUUCAAUUUUGCUUUGCCAGAGUUAGUCCAGCACCCACAACUGCAGAAACCACUUAAGAGACCAAGGACAUUAUAGACCCUGACCAGCAACGGGAGACAACCUGGAGGAGUUUAAGGAUCUUUCUUACGAAGAGAAAAAGUCACUACAGGAGCAGCACCUUCAAGAAAAUAAGUAUUUGUGUGUCUUUUACGAUAAGCCUUACAAGAAUUCGGAAUGUGCGCCGCAGCACGGCCCUGAGCACUCAUGCAUGGGACAUUUAAUGAGCUCAGGUCCUUGGUGUGCUGAGAGGUGGCUGUGUGGUGGCAAUGAGGUAAGUAGUGCAGAGAUACAGAGACCCAAAGGAGGCGGGCGGGGCUUCUGACACCUUCAGCCCACAGACGCAGGACUCCCGAUCCCAACAUUGCUCUGCAAAGUCGGGAGGUGGCAGGUGAGGAGGGCGUGUGUGACCAUAUUUGGCAACGUGUUUCCAUUUGGAACUUGUAAAAAGUUCCCCGUCUCGGCAGCUGAAAGCCGUGGUUGUGGCACAAACGGGAAGAGCUACCGGCGGUUUUCACGAGGCCUUCUGAUGAAGAUGUAGAACUCUCAGUUCCCCCUGCACCACGUCUGCCUGGAUGCCACCAUGUCCCUGCCUUGAUAAUAAUGGACUGAAACUCUGAACCUGUAGCCAGCUCCAAUUAAAAGUUGUCCUUUAAAAGA